UGUUGGGCCAAGGUCAACUGGCGCACUAAGGCCACUCAUCCUGGCAGACAACCCCAAAUCCCUCGCCUCGCCGGCGUACCUUCCACGGCCGCCUCGUCUCCCCCAACUCCGGCACUUUAUCCCCUCGUUCGGAACCUGCUCCCAUCUUCCCCCUUCCUCCCACACUCGCCCACCCGCAUCAGGUCGACCGCCACCGCCCAAGACUCCUGAUGGGCGACACGGCCGCCCAGGAGUCAUGGCAUCGCGCCGGGCUUUGUUUGCUGGUGCGCGCGUUGAACUCGCCUGGCUGCAUCGCUCGUAUGGCCGAGGCGGUUCGGUUCGUCUGUCUUCACGCCGGCGAGAGGUAUGGUAUCGGCCACGACGACGCGCCAUCAGUUGCAGUUGACGGCCAGCAGAAAAAUACUCUAGACCUGACCAAGUCUGCUAUGGAUGCACUACUAGUUUGAAAGUUAGCCACUCUGGUUUCUCAUGAUCAUCAUCAUCCGGUGUACCACGGCUUCGAUGGUCCUACAGAACACGUCUGGUCCUUGCCGCUGCCCCAGCGUCAUGCUACUACUGGUCGCCUACCAUGCUUGAUACUCCGAGGAAUGCAUGCGCAGGGCCAGCUCUGGGGCCGGCUGAGGUGGAGGAUGUGAUGGCGGCGUGCGGGGUGAAGGAGGACGAGCGGGUACCUUCUGCCUAGGUUGAAGCAAGACACAUGAUGGUUUUAGACUACACCAAGCGGUGGUUCCAGAACAUGCUCAAGGAGGCGCUCGAUGGUGACACCGCUUUGCAGGUGCUCAUGGGCAAGAUGUGUACAAUAGCGGCUAGGGCGUCAACAAGAAUGAACACAAGCGAAGGUGGAGAUGGUGCUUGGCAUGAUCAGUAUACUAGGAGCACGCAGGAUGUGCGGGAAAGGCUGAAACACCGGGGUUCCUACCUCACUUCUUUUGGUUUAGAGGAUGGUGUGGUGGAUGAGAAAGGGUGGAGGGCACUGGGAGGAAUUUUGGUGCCAAAUUGAACAUCUUUUUUUUUAGUUUCUUAUAUCAUCUGUCUAUCAGUAUAUAUAAUAUUUGUUGGGUCUUGUGGUUGGUCAGAAUGUGUUUGCAUAUGAUAACCAAUGUGGAAAAAUACCAUCUUUGGGGACUGAUUGGCUUAUUGGCCAUGUUGUCAUUUCCAGAAUCUCAAGGUCCUGAUUACGUGCAUCCCGAAAUUCUUCAGUUCACUCUUUUUUGCCUCUUUUUUAAUAUAUUUAAUCUCUUAUCUUUUUUAGUAGUUGCUCCUUUAUCUUUGUUUGGGAUCUCUUUUGUUUUUUUAUAUUAGUAAUCUAUCUAUCUGUACCCCUGGAGCUUUGCGGAAAACACGUUGAUGCUCUUUAGGUCCAUUGCCAUCAAAUUUGCAGACAUAUUUGACAUUAGUUUUCAUAAUUAAGUCAAAUCCUAAUGGUUUGAUUAGGUAGGUGACAGUUACGAGUGGUUACUUAUUUAAUAUGAUUUUCUAACUUGGUUUAGCCUUAAGAAUAAGCUCUGUGCUAUGAGUACAAUGAUAUCUUCUGGUAAUUUUUGGUUUGGGCAUGCUCGAUUUUUAUGAGCUUCGCACUAGUGUAGGUAACAGUGCCGGUGAAGGGUUUAAGCCACAAAUCUGUAGGCAAAACUCUGUCUUGUGUCGUUUCUGCUGAAAACUCUCAACCAUGAAUCUCAGUUGCUUGUGUGUGUUUUGCAGGUUAGUGAUUUCGUUCACAUCACAUACAACUCGUUCCAACAUUAGAGCCUUGUCAUCGGGUGCGUCAAGGAGAUAGUCUUCUUCCUUGUGAUGGAACUAAUGCAAAGGGGCUGGACUCGCCGUUCCCAUCGCUGGUGGCAUUCUACUCCUUGGUGCAUGCCGAAGAACUGUCCCAGCUGGACUGAAACUCUGAAGCAAUGUACUUGCUUCAACGAGCUAGAACUAAUGUGCAGAAUGAUAAUUAUAUAGAUAGAAGCAUUGAGAAGGCCAUCAUACUAAGGAACAACAUAACUAGAAGACAUGAUGAUGUGGUGGAUGAGCCUGUACUGGUUAGCCUUGUACUGGCUUCUUUUUAGUGUCCAAUGGGCUUUGGGAAUCUUGCUUCACUAAUUAAUAACCACUCCCUCGUUGGGUGUAAUUGCAUCCUAGUCUCCCUUGUUUUCGUUUUUUCAAUGGGUAGAUAGUUGUCUGCUGUUGUCUUUUUGGAUGUUGGUCCCAUCAUAGCACCUUGUUUAACUUUUACAUGUACACAUCUUCAGGGCAUCUUUGGUUCCUACGCCAAAAAAGUUUCUAUCAAGAUGUCAUUUUUUUUGGACGUGGACAAACUAUAUUAUUGCUGUUGCUAUAUAUCUGAAUUAAAGAGUUAAACAUGACUAGAUAAGAAUGAUAUCAAUCUACAUUUCACCUUUGGUGGUUGCGAUAAUGUGUCACGUUUGCUACGAAGCAAUGAACUACAUAAGUAGUAGUAACUGGACAAGCUUGAAAAGAGAUGUUUGUUCAUGAUAAACAACGAACUACAUAAGUAGUAGGACAAGCUUCAAAGAGAUGUUUGUUCAUCCAUACCACGCGCUAUAUAUGAAGCUUUUUUGUAUAUUCCGUGCAUUUUAAUGUGCGAUUGUAUCGAGUUUUCUCUCUUCACAACUUGUGUGAUGGCAUACAAGGAAUACUAUUCUUAUUUCAGGUGCUAGGUUGAACCAUUUUGACUGGUAGCCUUCAUAUUUCAUUGAUUCUUUUGCUAUUUUCAAGUUGUACAAGUUGGCACUGCAGCUGGUAGGGGUGGGAUGAGAUCAAGGUUAGCAACAUCUAGUUCCUUGAGUACGUACUUGGAUGAGAAAUAGAAUACCAAGGAAUCAAAUUAGGUUGUUUCUGCGAUGCAGGAGAUACUCAGAACCUGGUUGGCAGAUGGUAGAUAUGGUGCUUCCAAAGUAUUUGAAUGUUACUAAAACUGAUGGUAAAACUUCUACUUGAAUGCUUUGUUACUUCUGUUGGGGAGAAGUGGAGCCGGAGAAUAGAGGAAGUCAUGCUCAUUGGUUGUGCUUGCAGUGUCUAGACCUGGGAGAAACAUAUUAUUUUGUCUUCUCCUGGGACCUAUGAAGGAUCUAGUCAUCAGCCUUUCUCGUGCGAAUUCGCAGAGCAAUUGGUCAGGUUUGGCUUUGAGGCAGAGUCAACUGUGUAUCUAUAUUAUUUACAUAGCCUAUU